rnacentral:rRNA from 1 species
GACGAACGCUGGCGGCGUGCUUAACACAUGCAAGUCGAACGGAAAGGCCCUGCUUUUGUGGGGUUCUCGAGUGGCGAACGGGUGAGUAACACGUGAGUAACCUGCCCUUGUCUUUGGGAUAACUUCAGGAAACUGGGGCUAAUACCGGAUAUGAGCUCCUGCUGCACGGUGGGCGUUGGAAAGUUUCGGCGGUUGGGGAUGUACUCGCGGCUUAUCAGCCUGUUGGUGAGGUAGUGGCUUACCAAGGCUGUGACGGGUAGCCUGCCUGAGAGGGUGACCGGCCACAUUGGGACUGCGGUACGGACCAGACUCCUACGGGAGGCAGCAGUGGGGAGUAUUGCACAAUGGGCGGAAGCCUGAUGCAGCAACGCCGCGUGCGGGAUGACGGCCUUCGGGUUGUAAACCGCUUUCGCCGGUGACGAAGAGUGAGUGACGGUAAUGGGUAAAGAAGCACCGGCUAACUACGUG